GAGAGAGUGGCCCAGUGGUCAAAAGCGGUAGACUAUAAAUUUGUUGAAGUUUUUCUAUGCAGGUUCGAAUCCUACCUCUCCUA
rfam:Capsicum annuum cultivar Zunla-1 chromosome 2, whole genome shotgun sequence